ACGAAGUCCUGAAAUAGGACGCAUUUAUUAGGACAAAACCAAUCGGGCUUGCCUGCUAGUUGGUGGAUCUGAAUAACUAUGCUGAUCGCACAGUCCUCGUACUGGCGAUGUAUCUUUCAAAUGUCUGCCUUAUCAACUGUCGAUGGUAGUAUACACGGCUACCAUGGUUGUAACGGGUAACGGAGAAUUAGGGUUCGACUCCGGAGAGGGAGCCUGAGAAACGGCUACUAC
rnacentral:rRNA from 1 species